CCAGCUGUCCCUUUAUGACCCAUGAUACAUACACACAUAUGUCCGUGAACACAUGAGCACACUGGCAGAGGGCACACACAUACAAACACAAAGGACGGCGGGAAGGGCAAGGGAGAGCAGGGAACAGCAGAGGAGAAGGGCAGAAGGGAUUUAGGGUUUUAGGGAUCAAUGGCGAUGGCAGGGAUGGCGACAGCGGCAAUGGUGGCAGUGGGGAUGGCGACGGCAGCAAUGGCGAUGGUGGGGAUGGCGACGGCGGCAGUGGUGAUGGCAGGGAUGGCAAUGGGGGGAACGGCAACGGUUGGUGAUGGAGGGGAUGGUGACAGCGUCGCCAUUGCCACCGUUGGUUGGGAUGGUCACCAUUGCCGCCGNNN
rnacentral:lncRNA from 1 species